rnacentral:rRNA from 1 species
CGCCUUUUGGGGAAAUAGAAGGUCUAACCUGCCCACUGAAGAAGUUAAAGGGCCGCGGUAUUUUGACCGUGCAAAGGUAGCAUAAUCAUUAGUCUUCUAAUUAAAGGCUGGAAUGAAUGGUUGGACGAGGUACUAGCUGUCUCACUGAGAAAUUUUUGAAUUUAGCUUUUUAGUCAAAAGGCUGAAAUAAGGUUGGAGGACGAGAAGACCCUAUAGAGCUUUACGUUAGACUUUUUUAAUUUGUUUGGCAGGAUUUUAAUUUUAAAGGGUAAACGUUUCGUUGGGGUGACGGGAAGAUAUAAUCAACUCUUUUUGAAUUUUAACACUGAUGAGUGAAUGAAUGAUCCAUUAUUAAUGAUUAAAAGACUAAGUUACCUUAGGGAUAACAGCGUAAUCUUUUUUGAGAGUUCUAAUCGACAAGAAGGGUUGCGACCUCGAUGUUGGACUAAGGGUUAUUUUUGGGUGCAGCAGCUCAAAGUUUAGGUCUGUUCGACCUUUGAAUCCUUACAU